CCGUAUCUUACAGAGGUAGAGAGAGAGAGAGAAUGAACGAGCGAGCUUGUCUGAGAGUCUCAGCAAAACGGGUCGAUUCUCCAUGAAUUGAUCUCGAAUUACGCAAGGAACGAACGUACAGUGGUAGAGAGACAGAGAGAGAGCGAACGAGCGAGCUUGUCUGAGAGUCUCAGCAAAACGGGUCGAUUCUCCAUGAAUUGAUCUCGAAUUACGCAAGAAAACAAAGGGAAACAAAAAAAGAAAGAAAUGGAAUCUUGCAGCGUUGGAGUGAGUUCUUUUGUUUUCCAAUUCCAAUAAAUUAUCGGGCAUCAAACGGAGAGUUCAUUUAGUUGUUCAUGUACGUACACAUACACGUAUGUUCGGCUCUAUGUGGCUGUGUUCAGAAGCAUCAUAACAUGAUAAAUAAGGCUAUUUACUCUUUUCGGGUGUACAAAAUAGAGAAAUUAGACUUCUGAUUUUUUUUUUGAAAGAUCAAAAAUUUAUUUAAUUUAACGUCACACAAUGCUAUCUACUAUUUGGUUGUGUGCUUUAUCAAGUGUCCCGAUUUAUUAUGUCUUUGUUUAAGAUUCUAGUGGGAGUGACCAGCAGAAUUGAAAAACUGAUGAGAGAUUUUUUAUGGGAAAGUUAUGAGGAGGGGAAGAAAUACCACUUGAUUAUUUUGGACCCGAUUUCUCUUUGUAGGAGUAAGGGGGUCUUGAUAUAGGAGUAAGGGGGUCUUGAUGUAGGUAAUAUUGUGGCUUUUGACAUGGCAUUGCUUGGAAAGUAGUUGUGGAGAUUUUUCAUUGACAGGAUUCUCUGUGGCAUUGUGAUAUUCGGAAUAAAUAUGGUCAUCAAGCUAAUAGAUGGGACUCUCUUGUGGUUAGACGUGGGAAUUAUAGAUCCCCAUGGAAAUCUAUUUCUCAAGUGGUUUAUUCCUUUCAAUGUCGGAAAUGAGGAAAAGAUUUGAUUUUGGGAGGAUGCAUGGAUAGUCUCUUUUAAUCUGUUGUUCACUCGGUUGUAUUGACUUUCUCAAUCUCAUAAAUGUUCUUAU